rfam:Oerskovia sp. Root918 contig_6, whole genome shotgun sequence.
GGUCAUGAGUGCCAGCGCAAAACCCCGGUUUGCUGGCCGGCAACCCUCCUCCGCGGCGGGGUGCCCCGGGUGACGACCAGGUCCCUCUCUACAAGGAGGGGGGCAAGCGCGGAGG